UUUGAUUCUCCUUCUUGGUCUCCCAACUGAAUCUCCCUCCUUCAAUGACAUCCAUGAUUCUAAUCAAUUUUCAUAGAAAUUCCCAAAAUCAAACUUGAAUUCUAUAAAUUCAUUAAUAACUAAGCUCAAAUCACCACUUACCUCAAUUGGCCAACAAGUCUCCUUCACUAAUCUUCUAAUUUCUUGUAAUCCUUACUUGCUCUCUUCAAAUUAGGGUUUAAUUCAAGGUUUUCUCUUGAUUUCCUAUGAAACUUAUGGGAGAAUUUAAGGGUUUUGAAGUUUGGAAUGAAGCUUUAAUAGAGUUUUAGAGAGGGAGAGUGGACGGCAAUGGUUAUAGGGGGAAGAAGAUGAAGAUGAAGUUGAAUGAUAGUGGUGAUGAGGUGUGUGAAGAG
rnacentral:misc_RNA from 1 species